ACACACCAGCUCAACAGAUUGCAAAUGAAUGGAAUAUGGCUAAAACAAGCAAAACUUUUUGUUGCCAGUCGUGAGGUGGUAACUGAAUAGAACGGGUUAACGUUACGGAAAGUGUUGAAUUAAGUUUAAACUAUAAGAAAGGAAAACUUCGUUUUUUUGGGAAAGUAUAUAAUUUUGGAGACUUUUAAAAGAGAAUUAUUAAAAGAAAUAAAUAAAAAAAAACGUAAACAACCAACCAGUGGGGAGUUAAUUUAGUUUAAGAGUCUGGCCGCAGUAACAGCAAUAAAAACAACAACGAAACUUUUUAAUGUAAAUGCAAAAAUUGUG